rnacentral:rRNA from 1 species
GUGUCAGCCGCCGCGGUAAUACGUAGGGUGCGAGCGUUAAUCGGAAUUACUGGGCGUAAAGCGUGCGCAGGUGGUCAUGUAAGACAGAUGUGAAAUCCCCGGGCUUAACCUGGGAAUUGCAUUUGUGACUGCAUGGCUAGAGUGUGGCAGAGGGGGAUGGAAUUCCGCGUGUAGCAGUGAAAUGCGUAGAUAUGCGGAGGAACACCGAUGGCGAAGGCAGUCCCCUGGGCCUGCACUGACACUCAAGCACGAAAGCGUGGGGAGCAAACAGGAUUAGAUACCCGCGUAGUCC